rnacentral:rRNA from 1 species
UACGUAGGGUGCGAGCGUUAAUCGGAAUUACUGGGCGUAAAGUGUGCGCAGGCGGCCGCGCAAGUCGAGUGUGAAAGCCCCGGGCUUAACUUGGGAAUUGCGCUCGAAACUACGUGGCUGGAGUGUGGCAGAGGAAGGUGGAAUUCCACGUGUAGCGGUGAAAUGCGUAGAGAUGUGGAGGAACACCAAUGGCGAAGGCAGCCUUCGGGGCCAACACUGACGCUCAUGCACGAAAGCGUGGGGAGCAAACAGG